UUUUAUGUAGUUUAAAAAAAACAUUAUAUUUUCACUAUAAAAUAAAGAAUUUAUUCUUCAUAAAAU
rnacentral:tRNA from 1 species